rnacentral:rRNA from 1 species
GACGAACGCUGGCGGCGUGCUUAACACAUGCAAGUCGAACGGAAAGGCCCUGCUUUUGUGGGGUGCUCGAGUGGCGAACGGGUGAGUAACACGUGAGUAACCUGCCCUUGACUUUGGGAUAACUUCAGGAAACUUGGUCUAAUACCGGAUAGGAGCUCCUGCUGCUUGGUGGGGGUUGGAAAGUUUCGGCGGUUGGGGAUGGACUCGCGGCUUAUCAGCUUGUUGGUGGGGUAGUGGCAUACCAAGGCUUUGACAGGUAGCCGGCCUGAGAGGGUGGCCGGACAAGUUGGAACGGAGAUGAGACACGGACCACAACGGGAGGCGGGGCAGCGGUAGGUAGCAUGAUGGACGGGGGGAUGGCGCGACACAGCAGCGCGGGGGAAGACGGGAAGCGGGUAGGAAACCAAAGCCCCCGGACCCGGGGCGUGAAUGACGGUACCGGGAGAAGAAGCACCGGCUAACUCCGUG